rnacentral:lncRNA from 1 species
GUGCCGUCAAUGGGGUCCAGGUACAGUGCUUGCUCUGCCGAGGCUGGGUGCCGAGGUUCUUUCGUUUUGCUUUUGUUAGUCACCCUCCUGUGGGGAGAGGUACUGUGUUUAUCAAACUGGAGAAACCUAACGGGCGGCUAUGACCUCUAGGAAAUCUUUGUAAAAGCUACGUAGUGAUACCCUGCCGGACCACCUAGGAAGUGAUCAAUGGGGAGUCAUGAUCCCCGGGCAAAACGGGAAUCACGGCUCAUGGGUAAAGUGUGCGACCUCUGCAGAGGGUAAUGAAACUGAUAUAUCAGCCGUGCUCACGGUUAAGAGCAGCCUUGGGAUCCUCUUUGAUUAGAGAUACAUAUGAUCCGAGAUACAAUGGUUAUGUUUAUGGUUUUUGUUCGACUAUGAUGAUGAUGUUCCUCGAUGAGGAAAUGGUUCACGGGUUUGUUAUUACUAAAAUUUGGCUUCCACUGAUAAUAAAUAUCUGACCAACUAAAAGCAACUGCUUGAGCUUAACCCCACAUAAAGCUAGUCCACCUCAGCCAAACGGGACAUUUGCUGAGUACGUUGAUGUGUACUCACCCUUGCUUUCACAAAACACCAGGUUGCCUUUGGUGCAAUCUAUGCUCAGGUAAAGAAGGCGUCGAGGCGGAUCUCCAGGAGUUCCGGGACUUCGACGAGUUCGAGAAUUAGGCUAGCGACCACCCCCAGUCAGCUGCCUGUGGUGGGUUUAUUUACGUUGGCUACGUUUCUAUUCUGUGUACUUUGAUUUUACUAUGUAAAUGACUCUAGUCUUUCAUAUUAUUACUUACCCUUUAUUGUUAUUCGAAGCAUUGUGCUAUGAUGAGUCAUUUAUGUAAUCGCUAUGUACGUGAGUUCUGAUCCUGGCACGUACAUGGUUCGCAUUCGGUUUACCUUCCAAAACCGGUUGUGACAUAAGUGGUAUCAAAGUCGUGCUGACUGUAGGACCGCUGACCUAGAGUAGCAUUGGCUGUUUUAAGGACUUAAUGAUUAUUACUUCACCCCAUCCUUGGUUCUGCUUCAAAAUAUUAGUCACCUCGACUAAUUCUAUGUUGUGCUCCUAUAUGCCCCCUUGCCAAAAGUAUUUUAUUCUAGUAUGGUCUAUAUUUCUCUCAAUCUAGUAGAUCUGAUCUCACUCUUGUGCUUGCGACAUCCUUGUAGAUGCCCAUGACCAUAACCUUCUUGCCUUUUGGGAUUUAUUGCUCUUCCAUCAUUAAAUUUCUACCAUUUAGCAAUCCUUAUUCCUUUGUUAUUGACAUACUCGUAUUCCUAAUUUUUUAAUACUCUUGUUUCAAAUACUUACAUCUGAAUUUCUACUACCUACCUAGACAUUUUAGUUUAUAUGUUCAUGACCUUCUUGUCUUCUGAGAUCCCUUCCUAUUCUAUUGUUACGUCGUCAUCCUUCGUUUUUUCUAUUCCCUUGUCUUGGUAUGCUUGUAUCCUUGGAAUCUUGCAUACCCCAAUGACUGUUCAAGACAUUUUAGUUAACAUGUCCUUGACCACCCUUGUUUCUUAAUGAUCCAUGAGCGAUCAUUUUUAUUUUGCACACCUGUGGUAAUCUCAUUGUUUCCUUGUAACUUCCUUCGAUAAUGAUUUUUUUUACUUCAACUCUUCUGUCGGAACCUCACUUAUCUUAUCCUUGAUUGUUUUCUCCACUUCGUCACUUUGCGAGUCUUGCCUUAACUCUAUCCAAGAAUUAUGCUUUUCAUCAUUAUCACCUUUAUCCUUAUCACCCCUAUAUCUUACCUUGAUGUUUAUCUUAUACCAACCUUUGAAAUAUCCUCUUUUCCAUGUCAACCUGAGCAUUGUACUUUACCUACUUUUCCCUUGGUCGUAUCCUCUUCUUUGCCACCUGCGAGUUUUUUAACUCUAUCGUUUGUUUUGUUUUGUUUGUUAUUUCCUUUACCCUUCUCAUCACUCUAUCCUACCUUGUGAUUACAUUAUGUCUGUUAUCUAAAAUCUCUAGUCUCCUAUCUCAAUUUGAGAGCAGUGUUUUACUUACCUCACCCUUGGCUAUAUUCUCUUCUUUACCGCAUGUAAGCUUGGGUGCAACUCCAUUCUUUGUUGUACUUAUACCACUGGCUCUUCUAUGCCUUCAUCUUUUCUCCUAUACUCUUAUCUGUUAUUGCCUUGGACCCUUUCGAUAUUUAUGUCUUCUACCUAAAUGCUUACCUUGAAUUUAUCCUUUAAAAGCCUCUCCUUUAUUUUGAGAAAGUUUGAGAGUUGCGAGUUACCUAUCUCUUCCUUGAUUUCUUUUCACUUCUUGUCGCCUUACAAGUUUUGUGUUAAUUCCAUCCCUUGCUGUAUUUUUUAUUUGCUAUCACCCUCACCUUGUCGUCCAUCGAUCUUGCUUGAUACUCAUCUUUAUUCCUACUCUUUAAAAAAAAUCUCCUCUCUUCCACCUCAAUUUGAGAGUGGCGAUUUACCUAUCUGGCCCUUGGACAUGCCCUCUCCUUUUCCAUUUGUAGGUAUUGUCUUAACCCCAUCCUUUGUGGUAUUUAUAUCCUUGAUUCUUAUGCACAUUUACCUCCUCUCCUACGUCCUUGUACGUUAUCACCUUUAAACACUCAUGAUACCUAUGCCCUUGCCCUCCUGCUUACCUUGAACCUACCUUUUGAAGCCUCGACUUUUCCAUCACUGUUCGAGGAUAAUGCCUCACCUACUUCAUCAUUGACUGCUCCCCUUCUUUGACACCUUGCAAGUUUUGUCUAGGAUACAUCCUUUGUUGUGUGUUUGUCCGUUAUCACCUUAACCCUUGUCACCCCUCGAUCUUUACCUUGAUGCUUAUCAUGUACCUUCAUUAUAAAGCCUCCUCUCCCAUUUCAUUUCAAGAGUGAUGUCUUGCCCAUCCCGCUCUUGUCCUUCCCUUUUUCCUCUAUCACGUUGCAAGUCUUGUCCUAACUCGAUCUUUUGGGUGUGCUUUUGCCUGUUACCUCCCUUACCUUUGUAAUCUCUAGAUCUUUCCAGGAUGCUUAUCUUAUGCCUACCUUUUUAAUUAUCAUCUUUCCCAUCUCAAUUUGAGAAUGGUGUUUACAUACCCUACCCUUGGUUGCAUUUUCUCCCUUGUAAAUUACGAUCCUUGCUUUAACUCCAUCCCUUAUUGUGCUUGUGUCCCUAUCCUACACGUCUUGUUCUUCUCCUCGUCCUUCGACAACCUUAGAGAGUAGUUAUUCCCUUUUCAAGAAAGACGACCAUCUAACUAACAUUAACGUAUAGCAACGAGAUGUUUGUUGUUGUAUGUUUGUGUUGUUUGUCCUUGUGUGAUGACUGAUUUGCUUCCUUGUGAUGAGUGUUGAGGUGUUGUGACCCUUGGUCUGCAAUGACCUCAGUUUACUAGUCGAGUGUCAUAUAGUUAGGUAGCAUGGUGCCCUCCCUUUUCUCUCUUUAAUCCAUUUAUGCUUACCUUUUCUAUCUAUACCCUUUCCUCUUAUGCAUGUCCGGUUGGCAACCUCCAACUCCUCUUAAUCAAUCAAGAUCAGAGUCGACAACGACUUCAUCAAGUGCAUAUCAACGCUCCUGUUAAGGGGGUUAGCCACUACCCCAAUGAAGACAAUGCGAACAACAUCAGCCAACACGACCAAAGUGGCGCAGCGAAAGCGUGUGUGGGUCCUAACCCACAGGUCCAAGAGAUCCUCAAGAGUUCCAUCAGUGGGUCGUGAACAUCUGAAGGUCAAAUCACCAGUCCACAAGCUAAGCUGGAAGAAUCAAAGUCGCAUCGAAAAGCGGUGAAAACCAAGGAACCACUUGUUUUCUUGCUAGCCUCUUCUUGAAUCUCGAGGGCGAUAUUCCUGUUAAGGGGGUUAGAUUUGUAACACCCUGAAUUUGGGGGUAUAAAAUUUCUUUUCUAAUAUCCACCAAAUUCAGGUGUUACCCUCUUCUUUACUUGCUUUUUUUCUAAAUAAUGGACAUUAAUUUUAUUAUAUAUAUGUAUAUAAGUUUUUAGCGUAGUAAAAUAAAAUUCUAGAGAAGCUUUAAUUGUUGCAUUCAUGUCGUUGCAUAGUGUUUUUGAGUGCAAAGGUUUUCAAACUAUAUCGAAUUAUCUUGUUCAUGUUUCCGAAAACUUUUGGGAACCUUCGAAAUGUUUCCUUGAGUAUUAAAAUAUAAUUUUUAGUUGUUCUAAUAUUAAUUAAAUACCCAAAAAAUUAGUAUUUACGAAAACUACAAAAUCUUGGAAACUCGAUUAUAUAUAUAUAUAUAUAUGUUCCUCUCCUCGAACUCGUUCUAUGUUUUGUGUCAUUUUCGUGAGGUCAUCAAACCGCUUUUUCUCCUCGCGAACGUUGUGCUGCUCGCACACCUGCUACCCCUCUAUUUCAUCUACCAUCGUCUACCCUGCCUACCGAUGUCUACUCGUGUCUACCUUCCAUACACCACCCUGCUCCAUAUCGUCGCACAACGCCCCACACAUUAUGCGUACAACUGUCUUCCCUUUCUCGUGUCCCCCUCACUGACAUUUCGGGCUCACAUGUCAGCUCUAUCUACCCCUGUUCCCCUUAGUUAUCGUCCCUUACAAAACCCCCCUUUCCUCUACGCACAUAUUCCCUUCCCCCAGAUCCAGAUCACACGAGCCCCUUCGGUUACUGAUCAUCACAGGUGCGUUCCCUUUCCCUCCGUGCACUCUUCCACUCCAUUUCCGUUGGCCGAGCAGCCCCGGCCGUGUCCUGGCCUCCUUUGUCGAGCUGUGAUGCCGUUGUAGGUCUUCUAUCUUCUCCCUGCAGGCCAGAGCGCGCCGCUGCAGUGGCCGACGAACCUCCGCCCAACGCCGGCCCCUCCACACCCAAGACAAAACCCCGACGAGGACCCUUGGUGCUGACUGACUGAAGCCCUUCACACACGGUCAGUGCUAACGACGCCCAUGAAGCACCCCUGAACCCAUGCUAAAAAUCCAAACCCCCCACGACGGUUGCACACAAGUGCUGCGUGAUGCAAAGCCCAGGCAGCCUCACUCCCAUCCCAUGUCCAGCGCUAGUUGUGGGCCCCUAGUGCUCGUCCUGUGUUCCCCAGCGGCAUGGUGGCUAGCGCCCCUAGCCCUCUCUCCCUGCUGCUCUUUCUCUAUUAUCUCAAUGGAGAGGGUAAUAGAUUCCUAUACGUGAGGUGGAAGAAGGAGUUAGCCACACUAAAUCCCACUUUCUUUUAUCUUGUGUGGUUGUGACCCACGUGGUCCACUGUGUGGCACAUUUUCGACCAAUAGGAUCGUACCACGUAGUCUAAAUCCGAGAAACGCUAGUUAUUCAAUAUAUAUGUUACGUUGUGAGUCUAUCUCGACUCAUUUUAGUCGUAGCAACCUCGUAAUAACCUCGACUACAUGUUAGUAAUAUUAUUUGGUCGCAACACAUAUUUUCGUUAAUUAGGUAGUUAAUCUAAGGUUUAUUUGAACGACAUUCUAAUUAAAAUAUAGGUAUAAUUUUAAAUGGUGAUUUUAUAUAUGCAAAUUAAUGUGGUUAGUGCCGACUCAGAUGUUUUCAUCUAAUAUUUGUUUAAUGUAAAUGUGACGUCUGUUUAGCUUUCCUCGUGUGUCACGCGCGUCGUUUGCACGCUGUCGUGCUGUUUCGUGUAUCGUCAAUUCGCAUCGCUUAGAAUCUCUUGUGUUAAUUAAAUUACUUUUUUAUUUGACAGCUGUUAGCGUAACAGAUUUAAUCAGAACUAAAUAGUAGUAUUAAUUUAUAUUUAAUUAAUAUCUAUUAAUAUAAUUAUGUCGAAUUGGAUGUUCUAAUUAAUACUUGUUUAGCGUAAACGUGCUAACCCCUCGACCAUAGCUUUGUCUAUCGUGGUUCUUUUCCUCGCGUAACCGUAGAGGCACUCUCUAUUUUAUAUUGUUCGCAUUUAUAAUAUUUUAUCUUGUAUAGUGUAAUGUUCUUAUGCAUAUACAUAUGUUUGUUUGCUUGUGCUUGUUCGUCUUCACUUCGCGUUGCGAUUAGAUCACGAUUCGUUUCCAAGCUUCGAGGAAUCAACGGUCAAGCUUCGACGACCAAGUGAUCAAACUCUACAAGUUCUACGAGAUUGAAGACCCUGAGCAUCUAUUUGUUGAAGGCAAGUGUCCUCUGACCCAUUAUGUCCCAUCUACUUUAUAAUACACUGUCCUGCAUACUAUGAACAACCUAAGGAUUUACUAGCUUUCUAUUUACCUUGUCCUUGAUUUACCUUUUGGGUUACUAUAGUUAGCUACAUGCUAGCGCUUUACUUUAAUCAAUGAACAUGAUGAGAUACAAUGUUGAUACUAUGAUUUUAUUCUGGAUAUGAUGAUAUACUUGUGGCAUUUAAGGGGACUCGGGCUGUUUCCUGAGUACCUCUCCGUAAGGACCUGUUCGUUGAGAGACCACCCGGGAUAACAGUGCAACCAUGAGAGUAAAAUGGGACGCCCUUAGCUAAUUAAUUAGAGGAACUAGAGGUGUAGUUGCUUCGCCGUCGUGCCGUCAAUGGGGUCCAGGCACAGUGCUUGCUCUGCCGAGGCUGGGUGCCGAGGUUCUUUCGUUUUGCUUUUGUUAGUCACCCUCCUGCGGGGAGAGGUACUGUGUUUAUCAAACUGGAGAAACCUAACGGGCGGCUAUGACCUCUAGGAAAUCUUUGUAAAAGCUACGUAGUGAUACCCUGCCGGACCACCUAGGAAGUGAUCAAUGGGGAG